rnacentral:miRNA from 1 species
UAUUAGUUUGGCCAAAAGGUUAAUUUGGAUUUUUCCAUAAGAUGUUACAGGAAAACCCAAAUGAAUUUUUUGGCCAAUCCUAU